CAUACUCUUUUGGUCAGGCAAGCCCAGAACCAAAAGGCAUGUCUCAGGAGUUGGCUUCAUGAUUAAAAACUCUAUUGUCCCUAAACUUGAAAAUCUGCCUACAGGUCACUGUGACCACAUUAUCUCCUUAUGCCUUCCACUACACAACAAGCAACACGUUGUCCUCUUUAGUAUAUAUGCCCCAACUCUCCAAGCUGACCCCGCUGAAAAAGAUAAAUUUUAUACUGACCUGCGCCGCCUUACCCGAAAGGUUCCCGCAGAUGAUAAGAUCAUUAAAUUUUAUACCAAUUCCUAAAAGUGCAGUCAUACCAUGCUCCUGGCCAGCCAAAUGCAGAAAAUAACUCUGGCAACAGUGCAAAAAAUUCUGCAUGAAGCUAUCAGGAUAGCUUGCUCACCUGGACUCUCUGAGAAUGUGCUUGCCAGUGCUUUUUCUACCAGUGUUAUCUCUCUUUACUAGUUUGUCAUCUUAGCUUUCUGACCCACCUAUUUUGCUCAAUUUUAAUGAAGAAUUUUAAAUUCAGGUGAAAGUGGUACAUUCAUCCCAUGAACUGUGCAGCUGUUUUCUAUAUAGAUGUGUCAGUCUAGGCUGCCAGCUUAGACUGAAACACAACUUUCUGACUAUAAGUAGCUGACUAGUUUCUGAAGUUCUUAGACACUUAUCUUAAUUUCUUAAAACAUAACAAACAGCAGAACUAAAUUGAUUUAGAUUUCAUCCAAGGUAGAAGUUUAUCUCCAAAGUUUGCAUAUUUAUUUUAUGAGGUAAGUUAAACUCUAGGCUUCAGGAUGCAAUAAUCUCUAGUCUGUCAUUCCACCAUGUUUUUCCAGGUGUGGAAUAUUGACCUCUGCCAUUAACAAAGAAGGUAGUGCUGGCUACAGUAUGUCAGUGGUUUGGCUAAUCUAGUAGUGCCAGUUUAUUUCCUUAGGCAAGUAGGGAUGUAGUGUGGUAUAGAUAUGAGGAAUGUACUUAACAGAAACAUGUUUCUAGUUGCUUCUGUUGCAACACCGUGAUGCUGACAUUCUUUCUUUUAUUCCCUGAACUAAAAUGCCUUACCACUUUAAAUCUUUGUGUUUGGUUUAGUUGGUUUUUUUUUGGUUUGAUUUGGUUUGGUUUUUUUUACAACUUUCUACUUUUGAGAUUCUAACAUGAAGUUCUUGUUUCCCCUUCAGCAAAUAAAGUUGUAUCCUCUAUAUAAUGUUUUAAGUGGGUAAUUUUUGCAAUAUCCUUAGCAACUUAUUUCGAGAUAUUGACUUUCCAGUUUUCCAGAAUAAUGUCCUUAAUUAAAAAAAAUAAUUAGCAAUAGUAAUAAGAGAAUUCCUCAACAAUGUAUUUGAGAUUAAACUAAAGGUAAAGCUGAUAUUUGUGCUGCAGUGGUCCUUUCAUAAGGCAUUUGGAUUUUCAGUGUGCCUAUAUAACAAAAUUUCAUUGUGUGUGUAUGUAAGCAAAAAUUCUUCCCAUAUCAAGUGAAUCAUGCACAGUCUUUUUUCCCCCUUAUUUUUGUUGCAUUUUUAAACUUAUAAACUAGUGUAUUGGCAUUACAAAAUACACGUGCAGUAUUGCAGAAUACUAGAACGUGAUAGUUAAAAAGCUCAAAGAACCUUAAACCUUUCCAGUGGCAGUCGGACAAACCCUUGUGCAAACAGAUAAGCCUGGGUCUGAGGGUCAACAAACUCAUUUUGUCAGAUCUGUUAAGUUAGCAAGUUGCAGAGAAGGUUUACCUUUUGUUAAAAACUCUAUUUUACUUUUUGCUGCAUUCUCUUAAAUAUAAAUGAUGCUUAAAUUGAUAGUUGUGUGCAGCCCCAGGCUUAAAAUCCUUGUCAAGGGGUUUUGGCUGGAAGCUCUUUACUGGAGGGAAGAGCCAUUAUAUUUCCACUCAAACAGGCUUUAGGUUUCAGUCCUAGUCCUUAGCAGGUAUAAGUGGGUUUGGGAAACUAAUGCUGAGGUUAGCCAGGGAUAGGACCACUACUGACAAGCACUGUGGCUAAAUAGGCGGGUACAGUCCCAACUCCAGAACAUUUAAAAUGAGAAAGGCUUCUCUUUUCAGUUUAUUCUGAGACUGGUAUAUCUAGUGGUGUCACAGUUCUCUUUUGAUUUAGGCAUUCAGUAUUCUUGCAGGUGUAUAACUGAUGAAUAUAAUGUUUGUGCUAGGGGAAGUAAGGGAAAUUGCUCGUAGACUCAAUCACUGCCCCAUUUUUUUCUUCCCUCCCUCUAAACUGUAUGGAAAUGCUUUCCUUCAGCUGGAUACUAAAGUCAAGCAACCCCAACAAAUGCAGUGAGAGAGCACCUCAAUAAUAUCUGGUUGUGGAAGAUAAGUCUGUUUAGUAUUCAAAGCUUCUGUGUCCGUUAUGUGCCAGCCACAGUGCCAUGGUAGGAGCUUGGGUGGCACCACCUCAUUUAUUUGGCAAAAUGAUAAGGGCUGCAGUGGGGGGCUGUCAGUUUAUCUUCUUCAAACCCGACAAGCAAUUGUCAUCAGCAGAGUUGUACGGGCUGGAAGAAGAAAGGAAUGGAAGUCCUUAAACAGGGGUGGCUGUUGUAGCCUCAGCAUUAUGAAACUCUGUUUUACAGACAUGUUAACAAAUGCAUACAGAUAUUAAACACACUGAAGCUUUUCACAAAAUUGCCUCCAAAUACACUGAGAUGGCAUUUCAUUAUAGUUGAUACACAAAUAAACCCCAGUGCAGAUAUUUUUGGUGACUCAACUGAUUUUUU